AGGAGGAAUAUCAGAAAUAUCACACAGUGGUGUGGAAGUCAGAUUCUUCAAACUAAAGGAAGUCUGAAAAGAAGAAAUGUCUUUAGUAUAACUCUUGAUGCUGACUCACCAGUCCCAUAUUAACUUACUGGGAACAGGCCUGUUCUACUGUCCACAAUAACAACACAGUUCGAAGAGUCUUCUUUGACCUUGGUUAACAGGUAAGAAAGCAAAUAGCUGAGAAGCUAAGUAACCUGGCCAAGGCAUCAAGCUGGAAUUCGAAUCCAGGCUGACGGGUUUACUUGUUCAGUAGACAAACAGUUUUAGGUUCAUAGCAAAAGUAAGCGGAAAGUACAGAGAGUUCCUAUAUGCACCCUGUCUUGCCACAUAUAUAUAGCUUUCCCCAUAAUCAACAUCCUGCAUCAUAGAGGUACAUUUGUUGCAAUUGAUGAACCUACUUUGACAUAUUAUUAUUGACUCCAAUAUAGAUUUUUUUUUCACUUGAAAGAUCUAAUUGUCUGAUUCAAAAUGUCCCAACCAUGCAAGUGGUAAAUUCAUUGUGGACAUUCAGACUAAGCAUUCUGAAAUGUAAUCUUUACUUAGAAAUACAUAAUCCCAGGAUAUUCAAAGAGUUUCAGAAGAUUUUGGUAAAUUUUUUUUCCUGAAAUGGCUUUAUAAUUUUUCGAUUGUUUCACCCCUGAUUUAUCAUUGAAAAUUAAAAAUCCACUGGGGCGGGAAAGGAUGGAUUGGCAGGGCUGCCAGAAAACUAGGCCUGUGUGCAGACGGACUCUAACCCUGACGAACCCUGACCCAUACUCGUUGUCAUAAGGUCAUCAGAAGGAGA